GUCCCUAUCCGUCGCGGGCGCAGGAAAUUUGAGAGGAGCUGUCCUUAGUACGAGAGGACCGGGAUGGACGCACCGCUGGUGUACCAGUUGUUCUGCCAAGGGCAUCGCUGGGUAGCUAUGUGCGGACGGGAUAAGUGCUGAAAGCAUCUAAGCAUGAAGCCCCCCUCAAGAUGAGAUUUCCCAUUCCGCAAGGAAGUAAGAUCCCUGAAAGAUGAUCAGGUUGAUAGGUCUGAGGUGGAAGUGUGGCGACACAUGGAGCUGACAGAUACUAAUCGAUCGAGGACUUAACCACA
rnacentral:rRNA from 1 species